CCAAUAGCGUAUAUUAAAGUUGUUGCAGUUAAAAAGCUCGUAGUUGAAUUUCGGGAUCAAUACGUCGGUCGUGCCUUUGGUACGUACUGGGGUCGUUGAUUUCUCCCUUCUGAUGAAUCAUGAUGUCAUUAAUUUGGUGUCGUGGGGAGUCAGGACCGUUACUUUGAAAAAAUUAGAGUGUUUAAAGCAGGCAAACGCUUGAAUACAUUAGCAUGGAAUAAUGAAAUAGGACGUUCGAACCUAUUUUGUUGGUUUCUAGGUACAACGUAAUGAUUAAUAGGGAUAGUUGGGGGCAUUAGUAUUCAAUUGUCAGAGGUGAAAUUCUUGGAUUUAUUGAAGACUAACUACUGCGAAAGCAUUUGCCAAGGAUGUUUUCAUUAAUCAAGAACGAAAGUUAGGGGAUCGAAGACGAUCAGAUACCGUCGUAGUCUUAACCAUAAACUAUGCCGACUAGGGAUCGGAUGAAGUUAAUUUUUAAUGACUCAUUCGGCGCCUUACG
rnacentral:rRNA from 1 species